rnacentral:rRNA from 1 species
UUGAGUCUAGUUGCGGCCGGGCUCAGGGCUUUGACUCUGGGGCGGGCGUGUAGACUGUAUGCGCGCGGGGAGGCGCAGGGGAUUUUCUCUGCGGACUCGUGUGCUUUACUUUGAACAAAUUAGAGUGUUUAAAGCAGGCAUUUUUUGCCUUGAAUACAUUAGCAUGGAAUAACGAUUUUGACUGGAGCAGGCAUGAUGUUGUCUUGAUGACUGCGCAGUAAUGAUGGAUAGGGACGGUCGGGGACAUUCGUAUUGCUCCGUCAGAGGUGAAAUUCUUAGAUUGGAGGAAGACGAGCUGAUGCGAAAGCCUUUGUCAAGGACGUUUUCAUUGAUCAAGAACGAAAGUUAGGGGAUCGAAGACGAUCAGAUACCGUCGUAGUCUUAACCAUAAACGAUGCCGACCAGGGAUUGGGGAAGGCAGUAGGCUUUCUCACGACUUCCCCAGCACCUUAUGAGAAAUCUGAGUGUUUGGGUUCCGGGGGGAGUAUGGUCGCAAGGCUGAAACUUAAAGGAAUUGACGGAAGGGCACCACCAGGAGUGGAGCCUGCGGCUUAAUUUGACUCAACACGGGGAAACUUACCAGGCCCAGACAUAGCGAGGAUUGACAGAUUGAGAGCUCUUUCUUGAUUCUAUGGAUGGUGGUGCAUGGCCGUUCUUAGUUGGUGGAGUGAUUU